CAAAGUUUCCGGAUAUGAUGUCAUUAGGUGAAUUUUUGGUACAAAAACAAAGGAAAGUCACCUAAUGACAUCAUAUCCGUAAACUUUG